UACAGAGGCCUCGAGCGUUAGCCGGAAUCACUGGGCUUAAAGCGUGUGUAGGCGGACUUCUAAGUACCUUGUGAAAUCCCACGGCUCACCCGUGGAACUGCUUGGUAUACUGGUCGUCUUGAGCCUUCUAGGGGCGAGUGGAACAAAUGGUGGAGCGGUGAAAUGCGUAGAUAUCAUUUGGAACGCCAAUGGUGAAAACAACUCGCUGGGGAAGUGCUGACGCUGAGACACGAAAGCCAGGGGAGCGAACGGG
rnacentral:rRNA from 1 species